UAUAAAGGAAACAAAUGAAUGAACAAC
rnacentral:piRNA from 1 species